rnacentral:rRNA from 1 species
CGUGCCAGCAGCCGCGGUAAAACGUAGGGGGCAAGCGUUAUCCGGAUUCACUGGGCGUAAGGAGCGUUGAGGCGGUUCCGUAAGUUGGGCGUGAAAGCUCCGGGCUUAACUCGGAGAUGUCGUUCAAUACUGCGGGGCUUGAGGACAGCAGAGGAAGGUGGAAUUCCCGGUGUAGUGGUGAAAUGCGUAGAUAUCGGGAGGAACACCCGUGGCGAAGGCGGCCUUCUGGGCUGUUCCUGACGCUGAAGGCGAAAGCUAGGGGAGCGAACGGGAUUAGAUACCCCGGUAGUCCUAGCUGUAAACGAUGGAUGCUGGGUGUGGGGGGUGUAAAUUCCCUCUGUGCCGAAGCAAACGCGUUAAGCAUCCCGCCUGGGGACUACGGCCGCAAGGCUAAAACUCAAACGAAUUGACGGGGGCCCGCACAAGCAGCGGAGCGUGUGGUUUAAUUCGAUGCUACACGAAGAACCUUACCUGGGUUUGACAUGCACGUGGUAGGGAACCGAAAGGGGACCGACCUUCGGGAGCGUGCACAGGUGCUGCAUGGCUGUCGUCAGCUCGUGCCGUGAGGUGUCGGGUUAAGUCCCGUAACGAGCGCAACCCUUGCCCUUAGUUACAAGUGUCUAAGGGGACUGCCCGGGACAACUGGGAGGAAGGUGGGGAUGACGUCAAGUCAGCAUGGCCUUUAUAUCCAGGGCUACACACACGCUACAAUGGCCGGUACAAUAGGUUGCGAAGUCGUGAGGCGGAGCCAAUCCUCAAAGCCGGUCUCAGUUCGAAUUGCAGUCUGCAACUCGACUGCAUGAAGCUGGAGUUGCUAG